rnacentral:rRNA from 1 species
AACGAACGCUGGCGGCAUGCCUAACACAUGCAAGUCGAACGAGACCUUCGGGUCUAGUGGCGCACGGGUGCGUAACGCGUGGGAACCUGCCCUUAGGUUCGGAAUAACUCCACGAAAGGGGUGCUAAUACCGGAUAAUGUCUUCGGACCAAAGAUUUAUCGCCUUUGGAUGGGCCCGCGUUGGAUUAGCUAGUUGGUAGGGUAAAAGCCUACCAAGGCGACGAUCCAUAGCUGGUCUGAGAGGAUGAUCAGCCACACUGGGACUGAGACACGGCCCAGACUCCUACGGGAGGCAGUAGUGGGGAAUAUUGGACAAUGGGCGAAAGCCUGAUCCAGCAAUGCCGCGUGAGUGAUGAAGGCCUUAGGGUUGUAAAGCUCUUUUACCCGGGAUGAGAAUGACAGUACCGGGAGAAUAAGCUCCGGCUAACUCCGUG